ensembl:lncRNA
AUGAACGUGGACUCAGGAAGACUUGAGUUCAAAUACAGACUCAGACAUUACUUGUGCGCUGAAGGCGCUCUAUGCCCUGACCCAUCCUCAGGAAAACCCGCGAUGGCGGCCAAGCGCAAAGGCGGCCUGAAGCUCAAUGCCAUCUGUGCCAAGUUGAGCCGCCAGGUGGUGGUGGAGCAGGGAGCAGAGACAGGCCCCCAGCCAGAAGGCGGCCAAGGCAACCCCCUGCGGCCCCGGGAGAAGGAGCAGGGCGGUGGGGUGGAGGCCAAGGUCACCCAGACGCCUCGCAGUGAGGAGGACAGGCGGCGGGCCGUGAUCGAGAAGUGGGUGAAUGGGGAGUACAGCGAGGAGCCAUCCCCAGCCCCAAUCAUAGGGCGCAGCGUCCGCGAGGGCCUCGAGCUGCCCCCCGAGGGUGUCUACAUGGUACAGCCCCAGGGGUGCAGCGAUGAGGAGGACCACGCAGAAGAAACUCGGGGGCCCGCCUCCCAGAGCAGCGGCUUCCUGGAAGAACGGGACUCAGACGGGCCAGCGCCCAAGGAAGAGGGUGCAAGCAAUGCCAAGCAGGCUUCAGGAGAAGCCUCCUCCCUCCGAGACUACGCCGCCACCACCAUGAAUGAGUUCCUGGGCAUGUUUGGCUACGAUGACCAGAACGUGAGGGACGAGCUGGCCCGCAAGGUCAGCUUUGAGAAGCUCCACGCCACCGCGGCCCCCGAGGCCUCCCCGGUGCCCCCAGCCUCGGAGGACAGCAAGAGGCCCAGGUUCUCCAAGUACGAGGAGUACAUCCGUAAGCUCAAGGCCGGCGAGCAGCUCCCGUGGCCCACGCACAGCGCCAAGGCCGAGGAGAGAGCGGGCAAAGAAGCCGGGCCCAUGCCGGGCCUGCGGCUGCCCAGCAACACGGCCAACCUGGAGACCAAGGCCACCAUCCUGCCCCUGCCCUCUCACAGCAGCGCCCAGAUGCAGGGGCUGGUGGCCCGCGCCUCCAAGUAUGACUUCUUCAUCCAGAAGCUGAAGACCAGCGAGAGUCUGAGACCCCAGAAUGGCAACACCUACAAGAAGCCGUCCAAGUAUGACCUGGAGAACGUCAAGUACCUGCACCUCUUCAAGCCCGGGGAGGGCAACCCAGACAUGGGGGGCGCCAUCGCCUUCAAGACCGGCAAGGUGGGGCGCCCCUCCAAGUACGACGUCCGCAACAUCCAGAAGCUGGCGCCCGUCAAAGCACCCCCCGCCCCCAGCCUGGCCCCCGCACCCCUGGCCAGCGCUCCAGGCGCCGCCCCCGUGGUGGGGCCCGAGCCACCCGUCUCCCUGCCUUUCAACACCCCCGAGUACCUGAAGUCGACCUUCUCCAAGACAGAUUCCAUCACAACGGGGACUGUCUCCACCGUCAAGAACGGAUUGCCCACAGAUAAACCAGCUGUCACCGAAGAUGUAAAUAUUUACCAGAAAUAUAUUGCCAGGUUCUCUGGCAGUCAGCACUGCGGCCACAUACACUGUGCAUACCAGUACCGGGAACACUACCACUGCCUGGACCCUGAGUGCAACUAUCAGAGAUUCACCAGUAAGCAGGACGUGAUCCGUCACUACAACAUGCACAAGAAGAGAGACAACUCCCUGCAGCACGGCUUCAUGCGCUUCAGCCCCCUGGACGACUGCAGCGUCUACUAUCAUGGCUGCCACCUCAAUGGGAAGAGCACGCACUACCACUGCAUGCAGGUGGGCUGCAACAAGGUCUACACGAGCACCUCGGACGUCAUGACCCACGAGAACUUCCACAAAAAAAACACUCAGCUCAUCAACGAUGGCUUCCAGCGCUUCCGGGCCACUGAGGACUGUGGCACUGUGGACUGCCAGUUUUACGGGCAGAAAACCACGCACUUUCAUUGCAGGCGCCCCGGGUGCACGUUCACGUUCAAGAACAAGUGUGACAUCGAGAAGCACAAAAGCUACCACAUCAAGGACGACGCGUACGCCAAGGACGGCUUUAAGAAGUUCUACAAGUACGAGGAGUGCAAGUACGAGGGCUGCGUGUACAGCAAGGCCACCAACCACUUCCACUGCAUCCGCGCCGGCUGCGGCUUCACCUUCACCUCCACCAGCCAGAUGACCUCGCACAAGCGCAAGCACGAGCGCCGCCACAUCCGCUCGGCGGGGGUGCUGGGGCUGCCGGCCGCGCUGCUGGGCGCCAAGGACAACGAGCUCGAGGAGUCCAGCAACGACGACCUGGUCGACUUCUCGGCCAUGAGCAGCAAGAACUCGAGCCUGAGCGCGUCGCCCACCAGCCAGCAGUCGGCCGCCUCCCUGGCGGCGCCCGGCGAGGCCCCGCCGCCCCCCGCCGCGGCCAAGCCGCCCAACAGCAAGAUGUCCGGCCUGCUGGCGCAGGCGCUGCCCAGCAACAUCCCGCUGGCCCUGGCGCUCUCCAACUCGGGCAUGCCGGCCGCGGGGCCCUUCUUCCCCAUCCUGCCCGGACGCGUGAGCACCCCGCUGCCCGUGGGCACCCCCGGCCUGAUGGGCGCCCUGUCCUCCGGGGCCGGGGCUCCGGACACCCCCACGCCGGCCAGCUCCGGGCCCGGCGACUCCGCCCCGGCUGCCUCCACGUCGUCCCCGGCCCCGGCCGCCUCCAUCAUGGAGAGGAUCUCCGCCAGCAAGGGCCUCAUCUCCCCCAUGAUGGCCAGGCUGGCCGCCGCAGCCCUCAAGCCCUCGACGACGGCUUUCGAAGCAGGGAAUGGGCAGCAGCAGCAGAUCCCCCCUGGACGGUUCCCCCCAACCCAGGUGAAGCAGGACCCUGGCGAGAACCCCUCGACUUCCUCCUCCUCAGGUUCCCAGGAGACCUUGCAGGACCGCAGUCUAGACCUCAGUGUGAAGGAGCACGGCAAUGAAUCAAAUAGCCACGCAGUCGCAGCAAAUUCAUCUCUUUUAUCCUCGCUUAUGAAUAAGAUGUCCCAAGGCAACCCCAGCCUCGGAAGCCUGCUGAGCAUCAAAACCGAGGCAGAAGGGGGCACCACCGGAGAAUCCUCUCCGUACCUGGGCAAGGCUGUGAAGAGCCUGGUUCAGGAGAAGUUGUCUGAGCCCUGGAAGGCAUACCUGCGCAGUUUCCACUUCCGAACGGAGGGAGGAGGAGUGGUAAAAGGAAACACGGAAGCUUCCUUCCCAAACACAGCGGCUGAGACCAAGCCUUCGCUAGCCCCGUCUUCGCCUCCGGCACCCUCUGUCACCACUGCAGCGGCAGCGGCGACCGCUUCCAGCCUGGAGGUGCCCACUGCCAGCCCGGCCACCAUGCCCUCUGCCCCGACCCUCCUGGCCUGGAAGCAGCUGGCUUCCACCAUCCCUCAGAUCCCUCAGAUGCCUCAGAUUCCUUCGUCGGUGCCGGGGAUGGCUGCUUCGCCCUUGGCCACGACUUCUCUAGAAAACGCCAAGCCCCAAGUCAAACCCGGAUUCCUCCAGUUCCAGGAGAACGACCCCUGCCUCGCGAACGACUGCAAAUACGCCAACAAGUUCCACUUCCACUGUCUUUUCGGAAACUGCAAGUACGUCUGUAAGACCUCCGGCAAGGCCGAAUCGCACUGCCUGGACCACAUCAAUCCCAGCAACAACCUGGUGAAUGUGCGAGACCAGUUCGCUUACUAUUCGCUGCAGUGUCUCUGUCCAAACCAGCACUGUGAAUUCCGGAUGCGAGGCCACUACCAUUGCCUCCGGCCCGGCUGCUACUUCGUGACCAACAUCACAACCAAGUUGCCCUGGCAUAUAAAGAAACACGAGAAGGCCGAGCGCCGGGCAGCUAACGGGUUCAAGUAUUUCACCAAGCGCGAGGAGUGCGGGAGGCUAGGCUGCAAGUACAACCAGGUCAACAGUCAUUUCCACUGUAUCCGAGAGGGCUGCCAGUUUUCCUUCUUGCUGAAACACCAGAUGACGUCCCAUGCCCGGAAGCACAUGCGGAGGAUGCUGGGGAAGAACUUUGACCGAGUUCCUACUCAGGGACCUCCGAGCCUGAUGGACACUGAGACAGAUGAGUACAUGGAUUACACAGGCUGCAGCCCCGGGGCGCUCUCCUCUGAAUCCUCCAACAUGGACCGAAGCUGCUCCAGCACCCCGGUGGGCAAUGAGAGCACCUCCGCAGGAAACACCAUCACCAUGCCAACCGCCUCCGGCGCCAAGAAGCGCUUCUGGAUCAUCGAGGACAUGUCUCCCUUCGGCAAGCGCCGCAAGACGGCGUCAUCGCGCAAGAUGCUGGACGAGGGCAUGAUGCUGGAGGGCUUCCGGCGGUACGACCUCUACGAGGACUGCAAAGACGCGGGCUGCCAGUUCUCGCUCAAGGUCACGCACUACCACUGCACGCGGGAGAACUGCGGCUACAAGUUCUGCGGGCGCACGCACAUGUACAAGCACGCGCAGCACCACGACCGCGUGGACAACCUGGUCCUGGACGACUUCAAGCGCUUCAAGGCGUCGCUGAGCUGCGGCUUCGCGGACUGCCAGUGGUCCGGCAACAGCACCCACUUCCACUGCCUGCGCUGCGGCUUCCGCUGCACGGACAGCACCAAGGUGACGGCGCACCGCAAGCACCACGGCAAGCAGGACGUGAUCAGCGCCGCGGGCUUCUGCCAGUUCAGCUCGAGCGCCGACUGCGAGGUGCCCGACUGCAAGUACAAGCUCAAGUGCUCGCACUUCCACUGCACGGCCCCCGGCUGCAAGCACACCGUGGUGGGCAUGUCGCAGAUGGACUCCCACAAGAGGAAGCACGAGAAGCAGGAGCGGGGCGAGCUCAUGCCCGCCGUCAGCCCGGGGCCCGAGGGGCUCCCGGCAGCUGGUGUCUCCCCAUGCCUUCCCUCAGCCCCGGAGGGGGUUGAGGAUCUGGGUCCCUUUAACCUCCCCCCCCCCCAGGUAUUUCAACAAAAUGGCCUUGGCUACAUGGAGUCUCCUUUUCCUCAAGCUCACUCUCCAGCACUAAACAGAAGGAAGAGGCUUCAUACGUGGAGGGUUGGGGGAGGGGGUAUUUAUUGUUAA